UGAUCUACCCAUGUCCAGGUUGAAGCACAGGUAAAAAUGUGUGGAGGACCGAACCAGUGAGCGUUGAAAAGCUUUUGGAUGAGAUGUGGGUAGGGGUGAAAUGCCAAUCGAACGUGGAGAUAGCUGGUUCUCCCCGAAAUAGCUUUAGGGCUAGCCUCAUGGCGAGAGUACAGGCGGUAGAGCACUGAACAGGGUAGGGGCCUAUCCGGCUACUGAACCUAAUCAAACUGCGAAUGGCUGUACUUAUCCAUGGGAGUCAGACUGUGAGUAAUAAGGCCCAUAGUCAAGAGGGAAACAGCCCAGACCAACAGCUAAGGUCCCCAAUGCCGUACUAAGUGGCGAAGGAUGUGGAAUUUCAAAAACAACCAGGAUGUUGGCUCAGAAGCAGCCACCAUUAAAAGAGUGCGUAAUAGCUCACUGGUCGAGAGACUCUGCGCCGAAGAUGUCCGGGGCUAAAGUACGGAACCGAAGCUUUGGCAAUUAACUUAUGUUAAUUGGGUAGGGGAGCGUUCCUGCAUGGGAGAAGCCUGACCGGAAGGACAGGUGGACAGGCAGGAAGAGAGAAUGCCGGUAUGAGUAGCGAAAAGAAGGGUGAGAAUCCCUUCCACCGAAAGCCUAAGGGUUCCUGGGCAACGAUCGUCGUCCCAGGGUAAGUCGGGACCUAAUCCGAGGCGGAGACGCGCAGGAGAUGGACAACAGGUUGAAAUUCCUGUACUGGCUGAUUUCGUUUGAGCAAGGGAGUGACACAGGAAGGAAGGCGCGCGUGCGAUUGGAAGAGCACGUCCAAGCAGGUAGGUGGGAAGAUAGGCAAAUCCGUCUUCCCAAAAGCUGAGAUGCGAUGGGGAGCGACUGGAAACAGUCGUGAAGGGGCUGGCACUAAACUGUCGAGAAAAGCUUCUAGUGAGAAAUCAGGCACCCGUACCGAAACCGACACAGGUAGGCAGGAUGAGAAUUCUAAGGUGCGCGGGAAAACCCUCGUUAAGGAACUCGGCAAAAUGUAUCCGUAACUUCGGGAAAAGGAUAACCCGGCGUACGUGAAGUGCAGAAGCGCACGGAGCGGAACCGGGUGGCAGAAGAGAGGCCCAAGCGACUGUUUACCACAAACACAGGCGUCUGCUAAAGCGAAAGCUGAUGUAUAGAUGCUGACACCUGCCCGGUGCUGGAAGGUUAAGAGGAAGUGUUAGCGCAAGCGAAGCAGUGAAUUGAAGCCCCAGUAAACGGCGGCCGUAACUAUAACGGUCCUAAGGUAGCGAAAUUCCUUGUCGGGUAAGUUCCGACCCGCACGAAAGGUGUAACGAUUUGGGCACUGUCUCAACGAGGGACCCGGUGAAAUUGAAAUACCUGUGAAGAUGCAGGUUACCCGCGACUGGACAGAAAGACCCCAUGGAGCUUUACUGUAACCUGAGAUUGGAUUCCGGUAAGAGAUGUACAGGAUAGUUGGGAGGCUGAGAAGCAAGUACGCCAGUAUUUGCCGAGCCGAUGGUGGGAUACCAACCUUGUUUUAUUGGAAUUCUAACGAGAAGUUUAACAGACUUGCGGACAGUCUCAGGCGGGCAGUUUGACUGGGGCGGUCGCCUCCGAAAGAGUAACGGAGGCGCCCAAAGGUUCCCUCAGCGCGGACGGAAACCGCGCGAAGAGUGCAAAGGCAGAAGGGAGCUUGACUGCGAGACGGACAGGUCGAGCAGGGACGAAAGUCGGGCUUAGUGAUCCGGUGGUAGAGAGUGGAAUUGCCAUCGCUCAACGGAUAAAAGCUACCCUGGGGAUAACAGGCUUAUCUCUCCCAAGAGUCCAUAUCGACGGGGAGGUUUGGCACCUCGAUGUCGGCUCAUCACAUCCUGGGGCUGAAGUAGGUCCCAAGGGUUGGGCUGUUCGCCCAUUAAAGUGGUACGCGAGCUGGGUUCAGAACGUCGUGAGACAGUUCGGUCCCUAUCCAUCGCGGGCGGAAGAAACUUGAAAGGGGCUGCUCCUAGUACGAGAGGACCGGAGUGGACCGACCAAUGGUGUACCAGUCAUGGCGCCAGCCGUGCAGCUGGGUAGCUACGUCGGGGACGGAUAAACGCUGAAAGCAUCUAAGCGUGAAACCAGCCUAAAGAUGAGGUUUCUCAUUGU
rnacentral:rRNA from 1 species